GUCCACCAAAAACUCUCCGCGAGUAGCGGGAGGAAGAGGAAGGAGACGACGACGACGACGAUGGUGAGCUCCAACUCACAUCCAUGGCGUCGACCCCUUGCCUCCUCUCUCCUCCUCCUCCUCCUCCUUGUCGUUGCUCUCCUCCUCAUCUUCUCCCUCCUCCUCUCCCCCUUCCUCUUACCCUCGCGCCCCGUCCCCCGCAUCAAGAGAACCCCCCAUCUCCCCCUCCGCUUCCGCUACGACGGCUCCUUCAAGAUCCUCCAGGUCGCCGACAUGCAUUUCGGGAACGGAGUGGUGACGAGGUGCCGAGAUGUGCCCCCCGGUGAGCUUGAUCGAUGCUCGGAUCUCAACACGACGCGGUUCUUGAGGAGGGUGAUCGACGCUGAGAAGCCCGAUCUCAUCGCGUUCACAGGGGAUAACAUAUUUGGGGCCAGUGCCACAGAUGCAGCAGAGUCCCUAUUCAAAGCCCUUAGACCUGCCAUGGAAUCCAGGCUACCAUGGGCUGCAAUCCUGGGCAACCAUGACCAAGAAUCCACCAUGACUCGUGAGGAGCUCAUGUCAUUCAUGUCCCUGAUGGACUACUCUGUGUCCCAAGUCAAUCCUUCUGGAAUUGCAAUCGAUGGCUUUGGUAAUUACAACAUUAGGGUUCAUGGUCCGUUUGGGUCGGGGAUGGCUAACAAUAGUGUGCUUAAUCUCUACUUCCUUGAUAGUGGUGAUCGCGCAGUAGUUAGUGGAGUUAGAACUUAUGGAUGGAUCAAGGAAUCUCAACUCACGUGGCUCCGUACUACUUCACACGAGCUUCAGGGGAUUUCCCAAGCACCAGCCCUUACAUUUUUUCACAUCCCAUUUCCAGAAGUUCGAGACUUGUGGUACAAGGGUUUCCAUGGCCAAUUCCGGGAGGGCGUUGCCUGUUCAUCGGUGAACUCCGGAGUCCUAAAAACCCUAAUCUCUCUCGGAGAUGUCAAAGCUGUAUUUCUUGGCCACGAUCAUCUCAAUGACUUUUGUGGCAACUUAGACGGUAUGUGGGUGUGUUAUGGGGGAGGUUUUGGGUACCAUGGGUAUGGGAGAGUGGGGUGGCAUAGAAGGACUAGGGUUAUUUAUGCUGAGCUUAAGAAAGGGAAAGAGUCAUGGAUGGGUGUCGAGAUGAUUAGGACAUGGAAGCUUUUGGAUGAUGAAAAUCUUUCCAGGAUUGAUGAGCAAGUUCUCUGGCGCCGUGGAAUGAGAUGAUUAUGGCCACGGAAUGCAAUACAAGCCUUUGUAGGGUAUGGUUUGUUGUUUGUAUGUGACUGUUUUUAAUUGAUUUUUCGUUUUUGCGUACGUUACCACGUUUAUGGCCAAUUGAAUAUGAGGGAGUUAUUUGCAAUGCUUCUUUGCAUAGGUUAAUGUUCUCGUUUUUAACCAUUAUGCAUGCAGAAAAAUUGUGUUUAAGUUUAGCUUGGCCAUCUUGAAAUUGUUCAUCUUUUUUAUUAAAUUGAGAGAGAGAAAGAGAGUGAGGAUUAAAUUGUUCUUUACACCUGUAAGAAGGGCUUGCUUGGCCUGAAUGCUCGAACAACUUCUCUACUUCAAGAAACAGCAACUAUGUGUUUAGAAUCGAAAACUAUGCAGCUUCUGCUGUGGCCAGAAGCUGAAACAAAUUUUUAGGAAUGCUCUAGUUUGAAGUUUUUGCUUCUGUUGCUGCGAAAAUCUAUAGGAUGUAUUUCUUAUGAAGAAGUUAGUGCAGACAAAAAAUAGUUCUACAAAGGCUAAACAGCCAAAAUGCAAUUUUCUACUAAUUAGUGUAUGUACUUCUAGUCAGCUUACCUAUAUGUUAUAAUUGAUUUUGAAUGAUUUACACCUAGUAAUUACUGGACAUCAAAUUGCACCCUCUUGACAGUUUCAUGUUCCUUGUGUUACAUUAUUUUGUUUAUAACAGUCUAUGACUUCAAAUAAGUCAUGUAUCUAACUGACUUGUUAUUACAUUGCAGUUCAAUUGAUCAUAAUUAUAUCUAUGUUUAACAGUUUCUCUCUAUAAUUUUGUGCUCAUGUUAAUAUACUGUUGCUUACAAUUAGAAGCCAUACAUUUUACCUGAUGCCUCUCUUACCAUGGCAAUAUAAAACUCAUAAUAUCUAUGUUUUCUUUGAGCUUUUUAUUGCAUAAACGAUCUGUUACGUAUGAAUAGUCUGAUAGUUGUAAUGUAGAAUGGCUUGUUGUGGAAAACUCAUUCAUAAAGAUGUAUCAAACUGCUGGAUAAAAAGAUUUGGGACUUGAAAAGCUUUCAAAUUUAAAUAUUUGCAGAAGGGCAUGGGUUGCCAUGAGUUUCUGCAAUGGUUAGUUUGGUGAAAAUUCAUUGAAAUGAAGCGGGUAGAACAACAGACUUAUACCAUAUCUAUUCAUAGUGCUGAGGUGCCGAAGCAAAAAGAUCAUGAGAACUCCAAAAGGAUGGUGAAACCCCUGAGGUAUGAUAAUGCAUGAGAGUUGCCAAUGUGAAAAAAGAUGAAAUGCAUUUACAGUUUAAUAUCCAGAUGCAUGGUUCAAUCAUUUCUGACGGUCUAGAAACACGAAGAACAGUAGAACAAGGCUUUCUCAGUUGGAUAACUUCAAUUAUUAUCAUACUUUGGAAAGCACUUAUUUUAGUGGGUUUUUGAUGUACAAGGUUUGUGUGUAAAAAAGUAUGCCUUUUUGUUGGACUUGGACAAAUGAGCCCCAAAAGCUUUUGUGCUCUAGGAGGAAAGCUAUGCUUGUAGUGUUUUGUAAUGUUAUGUGAGAAUUUUACAACUUUUGCUGGUGUCAA